rnacentral:tRNA from 2 species
UUUAAUAGAAGCCAAAAUUAGAGGCGUUUCACUGUUAAUGAAUUAAUUGAAUGUUCCUAUUAAAU